UACAGAGGUCUCAAGCGUUGUUCGGAUUCAUUGGGCGUAAAGGGUGCGUAGGCGGCGCGGUAAGUCGGGUGUGAAAUCUCGGGGCUUAACCCCGAGCCUGCUUCCGAUACGGGCAGACUAGAGGUAGGCAGGGGAGAGCGGAACUCCUGGUGUAGCGGUGGAAUGCGCAGAUAUCAGGAAGAACACCGGUGGCGAAGGCGGGUCUCUGGACAGUUCCUGACACUGAGACACGAAGGCCAGGGGAGCAAACGGG
rnacentral:rRNA from 1 species